rnacentral:rRNA from 1 species
UACGUAGGGGGCAAGCGUUGUCCGGAUUUAUUGGGCGUAAAGAGCGUGUAGGCGGCUGGGUAGGUCCGUUGUGAAAACUCGAGGCUCAACCUCGAGACGCCGAUGGAAACCAUCCAGCUAGAGUCCGGAAGAGGAGAGUGGAAUUCCUGGUGUAGCGGUGAAAUGCGCAGAUAUCAGGAAGAACACCCGUGGCUAAGGCGGCUCUCUAGUACGGUACUGACGCUGAGACGCGAAAGCGUGGGGAGCGAACAGG